GGUCGAUUAGCUUAGUCGGUAGAGCGUGGUACUAAUACGAUGUUGUGUCAAUGCCAAGGUCGGGAGUUCGAGCCUCCCAUUGACCA